rnacentral:rRNA from 1 species
UACGGGGGGGGCAAGCGUUGUUCGGAAUUACUGGGUGUAAAGGGCUCGUAGGCGGCCAACUCAGUCAGACGUGAAAUCCCUCGGCUUAACCAAGGAACUGCGUCUGAUACUGGAUGGCUUGAGAUUGGGAGAGGGAUGCGGAAUUCCAGGUGUAGCGGUGAAAUGCGUAGAUAUCUGGAGGAACACCGGUGGCGAAGGCGACAUCCUGGACCAACACUGACGCUGAGGAGCGAAAGCCAGGGGAGCAAACGGG